rnacentral:rRNA from 6 species
ACUGUAUAAUCCCUGCGGGGGAAAGAUUUAUCGCUAUUAGAUGAGCCUAUGUCAGAUUAGCUAGUUGGUGGGGUAAUGGCCUACCAAGGCGGUGAUCUGUAGCUGGUCUGAGAGGAUGAUCAGCCACACUGGAACUGAGACACGGUCCAGACUCCUACGGGAGGCAGCAGUGGGGAAUAUUGGACAAUGGGCGCAAGCCUGAUCCAGCUAUGCCGCGUGAGUGAGGAAGGCCUUAGGGUUGUAAAACUCUUUCAGUAGGGAAG